rnacentral:piRNA from 1 species
UGAGCCCUUUGCAACUUCGUCGCUCC